rnacentral:rRNA from 1 species
UACGUAGGGCGCAAGCGUUAUCCGGAAUUAUUGGGCGUAAAGAGCUCGUAGGCGGUUUGUCGCGUCUGCCGUGAAAGUCCGGGGCUCAACUCCGGAUCUGCGGUGGGGUACGGGCAGACUAGAGUGAUGUAGGGGGAGACUGGAAUUCCUGGUGUAGCGGUGGAAUGCGCAGAUAUCAGGAGGAACACCGAUGGCGAAGGCAGGUCUCUGGGCCAUUACUGACACUGAGGAGCGAAAAGCAUGGGGGAUCAAAACAGG